rnacentral:rRNA from 1 species
UAAUAUGUUGGAAAUUAGGUAGUAAUGAUGUUUCUGAAACCUAAAGAACUUGGCGGUAUUUUAAAUAAUUGGAGGAACUUGUUGUUUAAUUGAAAUUCCACAACGCAUCUUCCCUUAUUUUUGUUUGUAUAUCGUUGUUUUAAGACAACAUUUCAAAAUGUAGUCAAGAUUAAAAUUUUUUGUUAAAUCAAAUCAAGGUGCAGCAUAAUGGGGUUAUAAUGAGUUACAAUAUAAUUUAUGUAAACGAAAAGGAUAUGAAAAGUAAAUAGAAGGUGGAUUCAAAAGUAAUAAAAAAUUAAAAAGUUUUUAUGGAUUAUAAUUUAAGAUAUGC